rnacentral:lncRNA from 1 species
CCAAAAGCCCCCAAUUUGUGGGUGAUCACCAUGUGCCCCAAGACUCCUUGCCUUUGUGUUGACAGCCCCAUUCCCAUAACUGAAGUGGAAUCCAGAGCUUCUGCCAUCUUUGUCCACAUCCCCAGUACCUGUUCCUGUUCGUUACUGUCCCUUAAAAUGAAGCACCCAAACUGGCCAUGAGGCCUCUGUCUCCUAUGGGACUACCUCUCCAACGGGGUGCCUUUAGCCUUUUAAGAGGAACCACUGCUGGGUCCAUUGUUUGUCCUCACUGCCCCCUAAGUACUGUGCCCCCAACAAGAGGACGUUACCAUGUCACCAUAUAACUAAAACUGGACUUCAGACAUUUUCUUUGAUUGUCAGCAAAGCCAAAAUAAUGAGCUCCCUUGGCUGAGAGAGUGAGCAAUUCUUUAUCUGAGACAAGAAACCAUUCCCAUGAAAACUAGAUGGAAUUAUUAAUACAGGUUUUCAUAAACAUCUAGGAAACAUUUCAUUUUGUAUAUAUAUCUAUAGAUAUCUAUAGAUAUAGAUUUUUUUUGGCAUCUGAGAUUCUUCGGGCACUUUCACAAAGGGUUGUUACAACUGCACAAUGUCAUCGUUUUAGUGAACACCUAGUACUUAUUCCAUAUAGAUCCCAACAUUGAAAAGUCGUUUUCACUCACGUCUAAUCAACCUACUGAAAUGCCUUUCUGGUCACUGGUCAGGUGUGUUGGUGAGGAGAAUACACUUGAUUCUUCUAUCCCCAAAGUAGCCAUUUUAAGGAAUAUCUAUCCAGAUACCCAAAGUGGUAAGCUCCUGGCAGCUUAACCAAAUGCUAAAAGGGGUUGCUGGGUGCAAUGAGAAAUGCUUGAGAGGAAAAGGUGGGGGAAGCACCAGGCUGAACACGAGGUGUGCUGUGCUGUGUGUCCCAUGGCGGACAGCGGGCACCUGGGGCUGGGGUGCCAUGCUCCAGCAGAUCGGGGAGGGAAAUUUGGGAAAUGCUGUUUUCCUUCCCCACACUUCUCUGAAAGUCAGCGAGCAGAGUGCUCUGUUUUUAUACUAAGUUAUCCAUUACACAGAAGCCUGAGUACCCAACAGGCUAGAAUUUCAACAGAGGCUCAUCUCUUUACUUUGGAGGCAGGAAGGCUUCCACUUCAUCAUCACUGAAGGUAAGGGAAUGUCAGUAAAGACUCAUUUGUUUGACAACUGAGGUAAGGGAACAUCAGUAAAGACUCCUUCAUUUGACGCCUGGUUCCUGCGGCUCUCCUGGUGUGGUGAUGAUUGGCCCAGGAUUUCCAGAAAGCCUAGCCAAGGGGCAGGCUGAGAAAUAAAGAUAAAUGAAUGUGAACCAUCUGAGAAAGCAUAUCCCAUCCAUAUCCACUGCCUGUUUUCAACGUGCAGUGGAGGGGCUGGUAUGGGGGUGCAGUGGCAGAAGUUCAUUACAGCUGAGUGUAAAUUAGAGAAGGCACCCCCACAUUCUGAUGGAUACAGUCUUUUAUGCUUCCAAAGCAGCCCUUGCAUAUAUUAUCCUACUUGAUCCUAACAGUGAUAAUACCACUACACAGACAAGAAAACUGAGGCUUAAAGAGGGCAUGUGAUUUGUACACACUGAGACUAUCAAACCCCAAAUCCAGGUUUUCUGACUCCAAAUCCAGAGUUUUUACCAAAGCGACACACAGUCUUCAGGGAACCAGGGAAACACCUAGCAUUGAUUGAAUACCUACUGUGUGUCUCACACAUCGUUUCUCCUAUUUCAUCCUCUCACAGUCCUGCCCAGUAAGCAUGAACUUGACCAUUUCUCUGAAGAAGAAGCAAGUUCGGCUUUAAACAAUUUGACCAGCUACAAAGUGGUGGGGAGUUGGGGUUAAAACCCAGUUCUACUAGCUUGCAAAGACAAUUUUCUCUCCUCUCUGCUGAUCUAGUCAUUGUGUAUUAGACAUGAGAAAACAAAGACCCAAGAGGUUAAGUGACUUUCCGGAUCACACAGCCGGCUCAACAGAGAGCUGAGACCAAAAUCUGACCCAGUACAACAUGGGGAUCUGGGCUGGGUUAUUGUCUAAUCGUCACUUCCCUGAAAUCAAACAAGACUAUAAUGAGGUACCUGGUUAGUGCUUCCUAAGCAGCUCUAACAUUUAGUAGAACAAAGUGUUGAAGGAGGUCUGGGACCUCAAAAUGCCCGAAAGAAUGGUAUCAAAGCCGGCAGCCAGGGGCACAGCCAGGUCAGUUCUAUAUAUAGAUGUAAUUGUUCACCAGCGAUUUCAACUAGCUUGUCUGAGCAGCCUCGGCUCUCUUUGGUCUGCUGUCUCCAUGGGUGCCAGGAACUGUGCUGUGAAUAUCUGGAUGCUGCAUCAUUAAACCUAUUGAGUAUCUCACUGUCUGCUGAGCCCAACUGUGACUCUGUUCAAACAAAUAAAGGUACCUAAUGGCUGCAACCUGAAUUGUGGGCACAUGGCCCAAGUGGUAAUCAGAGAUGGCCUAUGUCACUGAGGCAGAAGACCCACAAGAAGUGCAGAGAAUAAUAGAGAUGCAGAGGCUAUUCCCAGAUUCCCACUGGAAGUCCCAUUAGCAGUGACAAAAGGAGACACAGACGGAGGAGAGAGUUGCGGCAGAUGGUCUCCAUCCAGGAAGGAGCAGAAGAGAUGCUGACGUCAAGAAAAAACGGGGGCUGUGACUCUACUGAUGACUCUAUUUCCUGUUCCAGGCUACUUGGCAGGGAUUCUGGUAGGAAGAAUAUUUAUUGUCAAACCUUAAUAGGCUCUAUUCUUUGCAAUUAUUUGAGCAUCUGAAGAGAGGAGAGGGUCUUGCAACUGGAGGAGGAUAUUUUGCCUGGCCAUUGGUUGGGGCUCAGUUGCUGUUGUGAGUGGAGUUCUGAUAGCAUCUCUCCGCCCUUGCAAAUUUUUAUAAUGGCUAAUUAGUAUCUUGCGAGUAGAGUGGGGAAAACAGUGGAUCUCUGAGCAUUUUGAGGGUCAAGGAUUGGAAGGCAGUUCUGCUGCACUGGGCCAUAUUGCAGUGAGGACAACAGAGCCCAAGAGAGGGAACUCAUAAUUAGGAAAGCACUUAAAAUCAAGAUGAACAGUUGUGCAGGUUGUGCACUGAACAACAUUGUGGCAUCAUUUACUUCUUAAUCUCUCUUUAGAUUUUUAUGGUGCACAACAUGCAAAUUAUAUGUCACAACCCUGGCAGUCUACACUAGCAAACCUUACACAGCCCCUAACUGUUGAGGUCAGAGAAGGGAACUGAUUCUAGGUAUAGCAUAUUGCAAAUACUAGAAUCCACCUUGACCUGCCCACUCAGGUGCCCUGGAGUAUUUGAAGAAGAUGACUUCAGGUUUGUUUGAACUUAAAGUGCUAUAGCACCAAAUGCUAUUACAAUUUAGGACAUAAGCAAUUUUUGUAUGAAACAUAUCAUUCUCACUCUUAGUUCUCCGGAGUCAGAAGGAACUAAGAAAGGUUUACCUGGAGGUCAGCAAGAGCAGAUGGAUGAACGGGAGCCAGGGAAAGAGGGAGUUGGGCUACCAAGCCUUGGUACAGCUGAGAGCAGCUCCAGUGUGGUCAGCAGAUUUCCCUGGUGGGGGCUGUGGCUGCCACAGGUUCGAAUGAUGCAAUGGGAGUGACAUCUCCAAGGACUGUGAAGGAGCCAGGGCGGGGGUCAUUCAAGUAACAGGGACCUGAUGAAAUUCCCCUUGGGCUGUCCAUGAGUGCCAAUUGAAACUAGCUUGAAAAUCUGCAGAAGCAGAUUGGGAGCCUCACACACACUUGGGAAGGGGAGAAUUUGUGGCAGAUAGUGGCUUGGCAGAGCUGAGCACUGGGGAUCAAUGGAACAUGGCCUCUUUUACACUCAAUGGCUAUCCAAGGCUAAGGCCUGCUGGCUACACAGAUAUGUUCAUUUCACUGCAGAGACAGGGAGGGUGUCAGUAAAUGGCUUCAUUUUGUAUCCCUUGUAUCUGCAGGCCACAGAGGAAAGGCUCUACACCCAGACACACAAGGAAUAAAGCAGUGUGUGCCUCCCAGAGUGGGUGGAAAGCCAAUGAUCGGACAAUCAAAUGGGGUCAUGGAGCCAGCAGGAAUGAAGCAACUGGUGUCCAGUAGAGAAGAGGGAGAGAAACCUCGAGGUCUUAAUUUCACAGAGGUUCUUGACACAGGGUGGGAUUCAUUGCUGUCUAAGAAGGGAACUUAGGAUCUUGUGGAGUUUUGUUUUUUUUUUUUCUGAAGCUACUUCCUCAGUGUGUUGUUUGGCCAAAAUCAGGAAGAAAAUAAAACCUACCUGUUAGGGUAUGUUGCACUCAGAAAACCUGGCUCAGCUGAUGGGAUAUUUAUCACACUAAGUAUGCUGACAUUUUCCAGGAUUCUUGAGGAGGUCUAAAUAGAAGGAUCUAAAUUCACCAAAAUGAUAGCAUUCUGUAAGAGAAAAGACUAAACAAAAAUAUCCUCAAGGCAAGAGGAUAGCUUGAGACCAGGCAUUCAAGACCAGCCUGGGCAACCCUGUCUCUACAAAAAACAAAAAAAUUAGCCAGGCAUGGUGGUAUGACCUAUAGUCCCAGCUACUAGGGAGGCUGAGGAAGGAGGAUCACUUGAGCCAGGAGUUCAAGACUGCAGAGAGCCAUGAUGAACUGCUGCACUCCAGCCUAGGCAACAGAGUAAGACCCUGUCCCAGGAAAAAAAAAAAAAAAAUCCUCUUCUGUCCAAAAUAAUACAGGCUGAGAGGGAAAGUCAUAAGGUUUGUAAGAUUCAGCUGAAGGAAAAGACAGAAAGCAUAUUGUGUUAAUGCAGCAAGAAGAAAACUUAUGAAAUUGUGAUAACAGGUGGUGCCCUGAAGUUAAGAAUUUCUAAAGUUCCAUUUUCACAAUUUAACCUACCUUUAAGGACAGUAGUGCAAGUAGUUAGUUCUCAAAAAGUUCCACAGUGCCACUGCUGUCAACAAGACAUUGUUUAAAUGAAUUGUUAGUUGGGGGCAUAUGUCAGAGAUGAUAAAUUCCUCUUCAAAGGUUUUAAUUCCCUCUUCUUCCAGUUCUUUGUUUCUCUAGUUUCUAUAGUUACCCGUGCUGUAAACAACCCUUCCUGCCCUGACUGUUCCCUGACAUGUCCUGACAAGUCUAGACAGGCCUUGCACCAUAAUGGAUAGCCUUCCCCUUCCUGCCUAGAUAGCUGUAUUCAAUUUCAAACAUUAGCCAAUCAGGUCAGUUUAGACUGUGCAGUCCAACCCCAGCCAAUGGAGAAAGAACACAGCAGUAGGAACCAAUUGCAUUAGGGAUAAAAACCCCUGCCCUAUCCCCCGGCUCGGUGUUCUCUUGUGAUCGUGACUGGCACAAGCUGCGUCCUUCUGCAGAAGUAAAUUUGCCUUGCUGAGAAAAUUUCUGUUUGAGUGCUAUUUCUUUUGCAGCACCAAAACUUAUUUCUAACAAAUUUGGGGGCCUGUGUGGGAUUCCCAUUCUCCUCUGGGGAAGGGUCCGGUCCUCUCCCAUGAGGAGGCACAUCCUGCUGCCUCAUUGCGGUAGCCUCAGGGGUAAGGAAUCGAGACUCACUCAGUGUGAUGAAUAAACCUGGACUCUCAGCAACACAGGAAGAAACAGACCAACAACUUUGAAAAAAGAAAAAAAAAAGGUAAUCACAUACUGUGGUGUCCAGGUAACUCUGUGCACAGAUCAAGGUAAGAAACCUCACAGUGGCGACAAAGUAUUUCCUUGAUGAUCGGAACAUCUCGGAGGUUGGAAGUUGAAAGUGUGUGAAUAAGCACUACUGGUGUGCGGAGUGAGCGAGUCCAAUCUGUGGUUCUGUGGUCACCUCAUAUGACUUACAGCAGCCUUUUGGGGGUCCUGUCAGGGGUUUAUACUGACCCACCAAUGUUAAAAGGGACAUGAUGUUCCCUUCGGGGAAGCAGCCAGAGAGGAGGAAACGAAAGGAAAAGAGUGCAAGAAGCCUCCACUAGGGGGUAUUGAGGCUCUGGAGAAAAGGAAAGCAAGAAAUCCCAAUAUGGGUGGGGCGGGGGUGGGGGUUGAGCCUCUAGAAGAAAGGAAAGGCGAGAAAUCUCCAGUAGAGGGGAUUGAGCCUCACACAAACCUCCAGUCAUAGGGAAGGCAAAAAAUUUCCAGUAGGGGAAGUUGAGCCUCACCCUAAAACCAUCAAGAUGGGAAAUACCCCAAGUAAGACAGAGAGUAAAAAGGAUAAAGCUAACAGCAAUGAUAUUCCCCUUAAUAGUCCUCUAGGUCUCAUGUUAAAGUAUUGGAAAGAUAAUGAAAGGACUAAGCAUAAGAAAAAGCAACAAAUGUUAAAAUAUUGUUGUUUUAUUUGGACCUAGGAACUAAUCCUCAAACCCUCAGUUUUCUGGCCAAAAUUUGGGUCAAAUGAGGAUUGCAUUUGUCAGCUUCUAAUAGAACAUGUUAAUAACAAGAGUCUAGUUUCCCAAGAAGAGAUAGAUUAUGCUUUGUGUUGGCGACAAGGACCUGUUCUUCUCUACCCCCUAAAAGCUCUAAAAGAUAAGCAUAAGCCACAGAAUGUUUCCCCUAAGGAAACUGAAACUCUGAACUCCAAGCUCUCUAUGCCUUGGGACCUGCUAGGUCACCUUCCCCCACCAAACACCCCUAUCUUUCCUCCCCUCAAGAGCUGCUGUCCCAGACCCUUCUCCUACCGCUAUUGUUCCCCCUCCUUAUAACCCUGCCUCUUGGAAAUUGUCCCUAGAGCCCACUCACUACCAGCCUAAGUACCCUUCCCUAAAGGGACUUCAAAGUGAAACAGCAAUGUAAAGAAGAUAUUCAAAAUUGCCCCUCCCCUUUUACCUCAGGGGAAUCAGCUCCAGCUCUCUUCCCCAUUGAGGGAGGUGCCCCUAGGAGGAGGAGACAUUGGCUUUGUAAAUGUUCCUUUAACCAUCUCAGAAGUAUGAAACCUAAAAAGAGAGCUUAAGUUACUAUUAGAUGACCCUUAUCGGGUAGCAAACCAAAUUGACCAAUUUCUAGGACCACAGUUAUGUACCUGGGCUGAGCUAAUGUUCAUCCUAAGCAUCCUCUUCUCAGGGGAAGAAAGAAGCACGAUCCAUAGGGCUGCUAUGGUAGUCUGGGAAUGUGAACACCCUCCCGGCCAAAAUGUUCCUGCAGCAGAUCGAAAAUUCCCCACCCGAGACCCCUGGUGAGACAAUAAUAACGCAUCCCACCAAGAAAAUAUGCAAGACCUUAGGGAAAUGAUAAAAAAAGGGAUUAAAGAAUCAGUCCCUCAAACCCAGAAUCUUACCAGAGCAUUUGUUAUACAGCGAGGGGAAGAUGAAGGGCCUAUAGAAUUUUUAGACCAAUUAAAAGACAAAUGAGAAAGUAUGCUCAUCUAGAUCUCAAGGAUCCUUUUGGGCAGGGAAUGUUAAAAUUUCAUUUUGUACUAACAAUUGGCCAGAUAUUUCAAAGAAAUUAUAAAAGAUAGAAAAUUAGAAAAACUGUCCCAUGAGUGAAUUUCUUAGGAAGGCUCAAAAAGUGUAUGUAAGAAGGGCCAAAGAAAACCAGAAGCAGAAGGCAAGAAUUCUGCUGUUCACCAUACAACAAAGUACUCGGGGCCAGAACCUAUAAAGAGCCUAGGCCCCAACUUUCCAGGCCAUAUAAAGAACACCAAAGAGCAAAACCUGGGAACUUAAAAUUAGGAGAGGAAGAAAGGAUCUCUUUAAAGGCUAUAAUGCUUUGAAAACUGUGUUGGCAGUGUGGCAUGACUGUUUCAAGUAGAUAAAAGCUUGUCAUUUUACCCCAUCCUGGCAUGACUGUGAAGCCGGUGAGGAAAGAGGAAGAAGGGCAAGUUCAGAUGCCAGCUGGGUAGCUGGGACAGGUUGGCUGAGGGACCACUCGGGAGGUCUCUUGUGCCUGGCAUUGCCCACUUCAGCCCAGUCACGUGUUUACAGCAACCAGAGUCCCUGCAAAGGUGUGGCUGGCUGUGGUCAGGGCCUACUAGCACCAUCACCACACUCCCACCAGCGGCUUAGCUCCUCUCUGCCAGGCCAACUAAGAGUGCUUUGUCCUGGGUGGGACAUGGGGGCUGAUAGAGAUGGGGGAAGACAUAACACCCAGAAAUGAAAACAGAGAUUUAGAGAAGGAACCAGUUAAGUAUGAGACAGAAGUGAAAUAUAAAAACUGAUCAGCUAGUACCAAAUUUCUGUUAAUUCUGGAAGCAAGGACAAAUCUAUUAGGAAGAGAUUUAAUGCUAAAAUUAGGCUUAGGCCUCCAAAUCAAUCAUGGAAAAUUCCUCCCCUUCCUAAACUUGCUCACCACUGCAGACGAAGAACACAUUCAUCCUGAGGUAUGGUCAAAAGACAGGAAUUGGGAACGUUACAGAUUCCUUUGAUUCAUGUUAAAUUAAAAAUCCCUAGGGAAGUAGUAAAGAGAAAGCAAUACCCUAAUCCUUUAGAAGCCAGGGUAAAUUUAAAACCUAUAAUUAAAGGUCUUCUCCAUGAUGGGCUUCUUGAACCCUGUAUGUCUCCCUAUAACACUCCAAUACUGCCUGUAAGCAGCCAGAUGGGUCAUACCGGUUAGUGUAAGACCUUAGAGCUGUUAAUCAGAUAGUCCAAACUACACACGCUGUUGUUCCCAAUCCUUACACUGUUAUCAGUAGGAUCCCAUACAGCCACCAGUGGUUUAUAGUAAUAGAUUUAAAAGAUGCCUUCUGGGCUUGUCCAUUAGCAGAGGACAGCUGGGACCUAUUUGCUUUUAAUUGGGAAAACCAUCACUCAAUUUCUCAAAAACUGAUAUUAGGUCUGUCUUCUGCCCUCUCCUCCCUCAAGACUCAAGGCAUUCUAGCCCAGACUCCACCUCUUGAAUUUCCAGUUCACCACCACCAGCCUGGAGAUCACGUCCUCAUCAGGAGUUGGAAAGAAAGGAGGCUCAAGCCCACUUGGGAAGGACCUUUUUUAGUGCUCUUAACAACUAAGACAGCAGUUCAGACCACCAAGAAGGGCUGGGCUCAUCACACUCGAGUUAAGUGGGCACCACCCUUCCCAGAAUCAUGGACCAUUGUUCCAGGACCAACUCCUGCCAAGCUAAGGCUAAAGUGGUUUAACCCUCUUAUUCUGUAUUUCUUUCCUUCCCCCUUCUAUCACUAAUCCCCUUAUCAUUAAUGUAACCAAGUCAAGCUCACCCCAAACUAUUACCUUUGAUGCUUGCCUUGUUAUACCCUGCAGAGAUUUGUCAAGUCAAAAGCAACUCUCCACCUCAGAAAAGUAUCUCUGUCCUUCCUGGCUGUCCUCAGAUUGGGCAUUUGUUAACUGGGAUAAAUUAGUUUGGGAAGAGUUUGACGAAGAUUCCAAUAUGAACUGGGAAUCUAGUCCUCUUAGAGCAGAGCUUCUCUGCCGAAGUUGGUCCAAUGUUCUAUGAAAUACUAAAGGGCAAGGAUGACCUCCCCAACUAGUACUUACAGUUUCUUAAAACCAUAUAUUCAUUUUACUAAAGGGAUUACCCCUCCCAAUUGUCAGCUGAACCAAUGUAAUCCAGCACAGAUUACUAUCUGUGCUCCCCAGAGUUCUUCCCCUUCAUUAAGCCAUUUCUAUGGUAUAGGAGCAUAAGUCUCAGGGAAGGACCCCAUAGGAUCCUUUGAAAUGUGCUUCACUGCUUCCCCACCUCCUGCAUCCCCUUCUCGCUCUCCUAAGUUCUCUGCUAACCAAACCUUUUCUCAUUAUAUACCCAAUGAUAAAACCAGAGUAGCUGUUGUAGAGGUUAAAGAUUUAAAACAAAUUAUAGCAAUUGAAACAGGGUAUCAGGACGCAAAUGCUUGGCUGGAAUGGAUUAAAUAUUCUGUUCACAUGCUAAACAAAAGCAACUGUUACUCUUGUGCAACAGGCAGGCCAGAGACCCACAUUGUCCCCUUUCCACUUGGGCGGUCCUGUCACCGAGGAGGCAUGAGCUGUAUGAUAGCCCUCUUCCAGAACCCCAUAGCCUGAGGCGAUGAGUCAUGCAAGACUCUUUCACUGCUGUUCCCUGAGGUCAAGAGCCCUGCAGGUCAGCCCCUGAGGGCCAUCCGGCCUCCAGCUCCUAAUAUUAACUUCACCUCGUGCCUUUCACAGCAGGGGGAAACGUUUGCAUUCCUUGGAGACUUAACAGGGUGCAGUGAUACCAAGCCUUUUCAAGAGCUUACCAAUCAGUCUGCCCUUGUUCAUCCCUGAACGAAUGUGUGGUGGUAUUGCGGAGGACUAUUGUUGGGUACUCUGCCAAUUCACUGGAGUGGCACUUACGCUCUAAUUCAACUGGCUAUCCCUUUCAUCUUGGCACUUCAUCAACCAAGAAAGUUGAAAACAGAAUGUCAUAAAAAGAGAGAUGUCUCUCAAGGAUCCUUUGAUCCUCAUGUUUAUAUAGAUGCUAUUGGAGUACCACAAGGGUUACCAGAUGAAUUCAAAGCCUGAAAUCAAAUAGCUGCAGGAUUCAAGUCUAUAUUGUUCUGGUGGUCAACUGUAAACAAGAAUGUAGCUUAGAUAAAUUAUGUCUAUUAUAAUCAACAACACUGUGUUAAUUAUACUAGAUAUACUAUUAAAGGAAUACUUGAACAAUUAGGCCCUACCAGCCAAAUGGCCUGGGAAAAUAGAAUAGCCCUUGACAUGAUAUUAGCUAAAAAAAAAAAAGGUAGGGUUUGUGUCAUGAUUGAAGUCCAAUAUUGUACUUUUAUUCCCAAUAACACUGACCCUGAUGGAACAAUAACAAAAGCCUUACAAGGCCUUACCCUGUUAUCAAAUGAGUUAGCUAACAAUUCUGGAAUAAAUGACCCCUUUACAAGCCUCAUAAUAGCAGUAGAUAAUACCCAGAAAGUAGCAACCCUAUGCGAUCUGUGCUUCCCAGAAACCCCCAAGACAGUGCAUCUGAAACAAAAAAGGAAAAGAUGGAAGACCAAACUGUGGGUGAUCAUAUUUAAAGGGUCAUAAACAAUUAUGGUGUCAUUUGUAAUGGAGAAAAAGUCUUUAACAUCGUUUAAGAAAUGUUAGACUACCAGCGUUAUCCACUGACUGCCUAGACAAUCAAAUCGACAAUUGAUCAGACUCUGCUUCAUUGUAUCUUUUCUUUUGUUGCCUAAAAUAAUUGGCUCCCAACUGGUGAGACAAAAAUCAUUGGUGGGGCUUCAAAUCCCUUUGCACAGCACAAAUCAUCUGUGGAUUUAGUAAAUACUUCCAACAUAUUAUAUACAUUACUAUUUUUCAUAUUGGUAUUAAUAAGAUUAAUAAAAUACAAAUCCAGUAGAAGGCAUUACUAAAAGUUAUUGACUACUUUUUUUCAUCUAUUUCCUCAAGCAGUGGAUGCUAAAAAAUUCCAAAUCCUAUUAUAAAUUUAUGUCUUUCAUACUAAAUGAUAUUGUUACUUUCCUCUAAUUACAAAAAUAAUGGCUUCUUAUCUAACAUUCACUGAUCAGUUAUUAUGUGCCCAGUAAUAUGUGAAGCCCUUCACAUGAAAUAUCUCAAUUUAUCCUCAUCACAAUUUUACAAGGUAGGCAUCAUCAUAACCCUCAUUUUAUAGAUAAAGAAGCUGAGGCUUGAAGAGUUUUGGUAACUCACCUGCAUUCAAAUAGGCAACAAGAGAGAGAGCCAGGCUGUAAAAGCAGAUUGACCUGUACCUUAAUUACACAUAAUAUGGCCUCAUGUGCUCUAUCAGAAAAUAGAGAAAACUGGAGAGUAUAAAGUAAAUAUCUCUCAUAAUCCUGCUAAUCAGACAUAGGACUGGUAGAUAACAUGUUAGGUUGUGUCCUUCUAGUCAUUUUAUUAGAUGUUUGUCCCCCUACUGAAGUGGUUUUAGGCAGCACAUUUUGUUUUGUAUUUUCACACAGCAUCUACAUAGACAAAAAUGUUUUUCUAGGAUAUUAUGCAUUUUGCAGUGUGUGGUUGAACUAUGUUUUAUCUGACCAUUCUUGUGUACAUUUAGGUAGUUUCCAACAUUCAUUAUCAUAAAUAAUGUUAUGUGGCAGAUUAUAAAACUUGCCCGCAUAGUAUCCCCAUUGUCAAGAAGUGGAGCCUAUUUCUCCACUCCUCAAAUCUGCACUGGCUGUGUGAUGUACUUUGGCCAACACUGCUUGUGUCCGCAAGUGUACCCAGCAGAGACUUGGCGUGAGCUGCACACUGGGACUGGCUCUCUUGCUGCUCUUGGGACCCCAUGAUGGCCAUCGUGUGAAGAAGUCCAGGCUUGCCUGCUGCCCCAUCAGCCCUGCCAACAGGUUGCCAACCACCACGCCUGUGGUUAGCCUCCAUCAUCCAGCGCCCUCCAAUUCGCCAUCCUCUCCCAGACACCCAGCAGGGACUGGACAAGCUACCCAGAUGAGGAGAACCACACAGCUGACCCACAGAACUGUGAACUAAUUACAUGGCUGCUAUAAGAUUUGGGGUCGUUGGUUAACAGCAAAAGCUAAUACAUACUGCAGUGAAUAAUCAUGAAUAUACAAGUUUAUACAAGUUUAAGAGUAGAAGUUACAAUACAGAAUGAGAGAUGGAGUGAGGUUUAAGAAUGGGAUGAGGUUCAGGGAUGAAGGAAGAAUAGAGGAGGCUCAAGGAGAAGAGGAGGACAGGAAUGGGAUAGAGUCCUAGAUGAGAAGAGAGUUUAGGAUGGAGAUGGCAGGCUCCAGAAUCAGUGAGGAUAUCUAUGUGCAUUUACUUGAUAAUUUUCAAAAUCUGAACGUUUAUUGAUUUGUUUAUUAAGCUGCAUCAAAAUGUCAUUUGCAGAGAGUGUAUAUUCCCCAUAUACUCAUCCAAAACAUUGAUUAUUCUUUUUCCUCCUUGCCAGUGUGAUAAGUGAGAAUGAUACCUGCAUGUCUGAGUUUUGCACUCUGCAAUUAAUAGUGGCAUUGAAUUUCUUUCCACGUGGUUACCGUCCUUUUGCUCUCCUGUUUGUGUCUGGCCCAUUUUGCCAAAUUUUUUCAUGCCUUUUCCAAGUCAAUCUCCAACCCACCCCUGGUACCAGGCAACUAUUGUUGUGCGUUUUUCUGUCAUUACAGAUUAAAAUUGUCUGAGCUUUUUAAAAAUAUUCCAUUGCUUUGCACAUCCACUUAUUUUAUGGUUAGUGUUUUUUCUAGCUUUUUUAAGUUUUAUUUUUUAAUUGAUGUAUAAUAAUUGUACCUAUUCAUAGGGUAUAUAGUGAUGUUUUGAUAUCCGUAAUGCAUAAUGAUCAGAUCAGGGUAAUUAGCAUAUCCAUCAUCUCAACCAUGUGUCAUUUCUUUGUGUUGGGAACAUUCCAUACCUCCUUCUAGCUAUUGAAAUUACAUGAUGUAUUAUUGUUAACUAUAGUCAUCCUACAGUGCUGUAGAACACUAGUGCCUAUUCCUCCCGUCUUUCUUAAUGUCUAGGCUUUUUGAUAAAUAAAAUGUAUUUUAAUCUUUCUUUUGUUAAAUUGAACAAACUUUCUUUAACUGUGUUAGUUAAAACUGCCUUUCCCACACCAAAUUUACAUAGAGAUUCACCCUAUAUUUUCUUCUGUUCAUUUUUACAUUUAACUUUUAGGGCAUCUUGGAUAUAUUUUAAUAUAUACUAUGAAGCAUCUAUUGUUAUUAUUUCACAAGAGUUUAUCAGUUAUCCCAUAUUAUCUUGUCCCACUGACCACACACUCAGACACACACACACACAAAUACUUGGAUCUGUUUCUAUUAUCUUUUUUGAUCCUACAUUGUUACAGACUUUUAUCAUUGCAAUAUCUGAAUAACUGGUAGUAUAAGCACACUGUCUCUCUAACCAAUGCUUAUUCCUUUUUUUUCAAUAUUUUCCUGGCAGUUCUUGCCCAUUUAUUCUUCCCAAUGAACUGUAGAAUCAGUUUAUCAGGUUCUUUUAAAAAAUACCGGCAGGGCGUGGUGGCUCACGCCUGUAAUCCCUGCACUUUGGGAGGUUGAGGCAGGUGGAUCACCUGAGGUCAGGAGUUCAAGACCAGCUUGGCCAACAGGAUGAAACCCUGUCUCUACUGAAAAUACAAAAAAUUAGCUGGGAGUGGUGGCACAUGCCUGUAAUCCCUGCACUUUGGGAGGCCGAGGCAGGUGGAUCACCUGAGGUCAGGAGUUCAAGACCAGCCUGGCCCACAAAAUGAAACCCCAUCUCUACUAAAAAUACAAAAAAUUAGCUAGGCGUGGUAGCACAUGACUGUAAUCCCUGCACUUUGGGAGGCUGAGGUGGGUGGAUCACUUGAGGUCAGGAGUUUGAGACCAGCCUGGCCAACAGGAUGAAACCCCAUCUCUACUAAAAAUACAAAAAAUUAGCUGGGUGUGGUGGUGCACGCUUGUAAUCCCAGCUACUCAGGAGGCUGAGGCAGGGGAAUCACUUGAACCUGGGAGGCGGAGGUUGUAGUGAAUCAAGAUUGCGCCACUGCACUCCAGCCUGGGCAACAAGAGCAAAACUCCAUCUCAAAAACAAAAACAAACAAACAAACCAAAAAACCUGGUAAAUUUGUUUAAGUUCUUUGUAGAUUCUGGAUAUUAGACCUUUGUCAGAUGGGUAGAUUGGAAAUUUUUUCUCCCAUUCUGCAGGGACAUGGAUGAAGCUGGAAACCAUCAUUCUCAGCAAACUAACACAAGAACAGAAAACCAAACACCACAUGUUCUCACUCAUAAGUGGGAGUUGAACAAUGAGAACACAUGGACACAGGGAGGAGAUCAUCACCUACCAG